CAGUCGCCGCGGUAAUACGAAGGGUGCAAGCGUUAAUCGGAAUUACUGGGCGUAAAGCGUGCGUAGGCGGUGAGUUAAGUCUGCUGUGAAAUCCCCGGGCUCAACCUGGGAAUGGCAGUGGAUACUGGCUCGCUAGAGUGUGUCAGAGGAUGGUGGAGUUCCCGGUGUAGCGGUGAAAUGCGUAGAGAUCGGGAGGAACAUCAGUGGCGAAGGCGGCCAUCUGGGACAACACUGACGCUGAGGCACGAAAGCGUGGGGAGCAGACAGGAUUAGAUACCCGGGUAGUCCCUGUCUCUUAUAC
rnacentral:rRNA from 1 species